GCGGCUCUGCGCUGCGGCAGCGUGGCUCACGCCUCGCUCCCGAGCCCUCAGGCUAGGGCUGUCCCACGAGGGCCUGCAUCUUUUAAGGGCAAGCUACUGAGGACAAGGGAUCCGGGUGGCCUGAGGAGCCGGAAGAAGAAUGGCGGAGCGCAGAGCGACAGUGGGGCACCCCUCAUCUCGCCCUCAGGGCCCUAACAGAAUCCAUUCGCCGGUCGGGGGCCAAGAGGAGGAGGGCACCAAGAGGAAGAGAAAGGCGCCUCCCGGGUCCGCCGCUCCACUACCCGUCACCGGCCGAUGCUGACGCCCUCUGAUGGGUUGGUUGCCUGCAGUCUGCCGUUUAUAGUCUCCCGCCCUCUCCAGAUCCUCGGAGACCCUUUGCGUCACUUCCUGCCUCACGUACACCUUAGGAGGCGCUCUGGAAACAGACAGCCCGGGGCUAGGAGUGGGCACGCAGCCGGAUUGGGGGCCCUUCGCUGGAGCGCGGGACCCGAGGAAGCGAGGUCGGAGGGAAAAGGCGCCAGACUGCAGGUGCCGGAAGGGGUCGAGGGGGUGGCGCACCAAGCUUCCUCCUCGCGUCCUCGGCUGGCCGGCUGGCGCGCGGGCGGCAGCCCUUCCUCCUGGAGCCCUCCGUCUAACCUUGACCGGUCUUCUGGCCCUGCAGUGCAAGGCUGUUACACAAGACUUACCUUACAGUGGACCUAAAAUUCUUGCGGUUCUUCCAAAAGGAAGCUUACAUGGGAGAACAUGGAACAGGAGCAAUCCAGGUUAAUAUGGUGGAAUUUGCCCCUACUUUAUUGCAAGUGGCAAAAGUUACUCAGGGAUUGCCCUGACCUGAAGCAUCCCUGGUCACCCAGGCCCUCCACUAGAAGCUGAGCCUCAGGUCCCUUGAGCAUCAGAGGCUUGGAGAAAAGACCCUCAGUGGCCGUCUCAUCCCUCCCCAUAGUGCACAGACGCAGGAACUGAAGUCCAGUGCGCCCCUGUAAAGAGUCGUUUCUGGAUCUGGGAAGAGGGUUCAUCAUCCCCCACCUGCCUUGGAAGAAUACAGUUCCCACAUUUGAGGCUAUUCUCUCCUCCUCAGGAGGCUCAGUGACAAAGUCGCCAACACUCCUCUCUGUGCUCGCAGCUUGGGGACUGCCCCCUGCAGGCUCCAAGCAGCUCAGGGGUCACGCCAUGCCCCACCCACACCCCCAGCUUCAACCAGGACCAGGCUGCGAAGGGGGGAUGCCAGGGGCAGCGGACACCUCUCAGAUGCCUGGGGGAUGCGAGCGGGCCCCUGACUGCAGAGAGAGCAGGACUGGAGCCAGAAGCACGGUGCCCUGGGCGGCAGGAGGGGCUCCCAUUUCCCUGGAAUCUCUGCGUCUGCCUCCUCGGGCACAGUAGGGCCUGACUUGCUGAACUGAAGCAGGAAGAGAAGGGAAGGGCUGGGAGAAGUACCCUUCGUGACGUUCCGUCUCCUCACCUUACCUGCCUCUCCUCACCUCACCUCGGGUGUGCCUAUCAGCAGCGUGGCUUUGCCAGACGGAUUGAAGGGCAGCCAGGAAUGGCUCCUCAUUGCCUCUGACCUGGGCCCUUCCCUUCCACAGUCACAGAGGAGGGGGCCCACCUUGGCCUAGCCUCCAGGAAUCAAAGCCCUUCACCACUAUUCUUGGACGUACCUGGAAUUCGGGUCGAUACCAGGUGGUGGGCUGAGUUUUCCUCUCUUUGCCUCUCCGGGCUGAGGCAUUAGCUUGUGGCUCCUAAAGGGCGGAAUACUCAGUGAUAGAAUAACUUCCAGCCUUCUGUGGUAGAGUACUCUCCAGUUUACACAGCGCCUACGUACUUCUGAUUUCAUUCAGUUGCUACAGCAAGUCGGCAAGAUGCCUACCAUAAGCAUUGUCUCCACUUUACAGCUGAGAAAAUCAAGGCUCAAAGAGAAUAUCCAUCUUCUGUUCUUGCUGUGAGAAAUCAACACAAACCGAGCAGCUUAAUAACACACAAACGCAUCAUCUCACCAUUCUGUAGGUCAGCAGUGCGGGCACAGCACGGCUCAGCUGGUCCUCUGCUUUGGGUUUCGCGACAUUGAAAUCAAGGUGUCGGCAGGGCUGUGUUCCUUUCUGAAGGUCUGAAGAUGAAUCUGCGUCCAAGCUCAUGCAGGUUGUUGGCAGAAUUGAAUUCCAUGCAGUGUAGGAUGAGGUACCAG